AAAUUGAAGAGUUUGAUCAUGGCUCAGAUUGAACGCUGGCGGCAGGCCUAACACAUGCAAGUCGAGCGGUAGCACAGAGAGCUUGCUCUCGGGUGACGAGCGGCGGACGGGUGAGUAAUGUCUGGGAAACUGCCUGAUGGAGGGGGAUAACUACUGGAAACGGUAGCUAAUACCGCAUAACGUCGCAAGACCAAAGUGGGGGACCUUCGGGCCUCAUGCCAUCAGAUGUGCCCAGAUGGGAUUAGCUAGUAGGUGGGGUAACGGCUCACCUAGGCGACGAUCCCUAGCUGGUCUGAGAGGAUGACCAGCCACACUGGAACUGAGACACGGUCCAGACUCCUACGGGAGGCAGCAGUGGGGAAUAUUGCACAAUGGGCGCAAGCCUGAUGCAGCCAUGCCGCGUGUGUGAAGAAGGCCUUCGGGUUGUAAAGC
rnacentral:rRNA from 1 species